AAAAAGGGAAUCCUCGCAAAUAUUGUGAUUACCAUCAAGCUUCGGGUCAUGAAACGAAUGAUUGUGCCAGUUUAAAAGACUUCAUUGAGAGAAAGGUACAAGGUGGGGCUUUAGUUCAGUAUGUGGCUGCCAGAACUAAUCAACAGCAGGACCGAGGACCUGUCCCGGCAGCUCAACCAGUUCAGCAAGCAUUGCCAGCUCCGGGACAGCCUGCGAGGCAUGUGAUAGAUGUCAUCACCGGGGGUACUUCUGGCAAGCUCAUUGGAAAAAAGCGCCGAAGCUAUUUGGUUUCGGUCAUGUCGGUGGCGGGUACCUUCCCGAAG
rnacentral:lncRNA from 1 species